UUUGGUGGAAUAACUCAGUAUUCAUUUAAAGGUUUUGGAUAUUACAAGUGUCUUAAAUGUGAGAAAGUGUCUCAGAUUUAGAUCUAUCAUUGUACCUGUUAUCUCUCAGACAACAGAGCCAUUAGCAAUGAAGGGCUAACUGCUGAUCACAUAUUUUUUAUUAUAAAAAUCUUUGUAGAGACAGCAUUUCAUGGAGAAGCUUGAACAUUGCUUGAACUGGUAGUAAUUUCAGAAGAAAUAAGUGAUUCGAAGAAAUAUAAUGGUGAAUAUAUUCUAUGGCCAGGCAGCAGUGAUAGAAGGAUCUCCUUUGACCCUAUGACAAUUGUUAUUGAUUAUCUUGUGAUGAAAAUGAACAACUGUAAUUCCUAGAUAAUUUAAAUACAUAUUUCUACGUUAUGCUUGGCUUUAACAGCUGUCUGUGUGUAUAUAUGUGUGCAUAUCAAUUUUAAUCAGUCCCGUGGGACUAGAGAAAUUAAUGUCCUCUGAUUUUUUUUAUGUUUUAUUGUGGAUUGAUAAUGAGUAUGUUUAUACACCAUUAGUAAUACCAGCAGCAAUAUUUUCAUAGCUGGCUGAUUUUUAAUUUGGGUUAUAUUGAGUACAUUCAAUAUAUUUCAACAAGAACAUAAUAGCUAAGGAUGAGUGCCUGUAAAGGCUCUUCUUUGGAUCUAUUCAUAUUUUUGAUCAACCAUACCAACAGUUACUUUGUACACUCCUUCAUGCCUAUAAAAUUAUGUAACAAUGUCCAAUAGUUCUGAAACUAUAUCAUAGAUUUUCAAUAUGUACAACUGACCCUCAAAUUUUCUAGUUUAAAUAACUCUCUAUCUUAGCUUAACAGGAUGAUCAAUGAUGCUGAAACAGGGUGGAUGCACAUAAGAGAGGAAUCAGUGUUUUGAUGUCAUGGUUUCAAGCCAGAUGAUAAGACAAAUGUUACAUCAGGCACUUUGAUGGAAUGUUUCUGGAAAUCAAUAAACCUUGAAUUUCUGACCCUUAAUUUACUAUGGACAAAAUGAUAUCUAUAAUAAGCAGAUAAAAGUGGUAGUCUUUCUAUGUCUCAAAAAAAAGAUAUCAUAUAUAUAACCCUGUAGUUUGUGAUCCAUCUUUCUAUGUAUAUAAGCUUAUAAUGAGGAUGCAUAGCUAUUUAUAAGCUAAGAAAUGUAAGAAUUAAUUAUAUAUAUAACUAUUGAAUUAAAAAUUAAGCAUAUUGCUUUUAUGCUCUCAUUCAACAUGCAUGUAUUAAUGGUCAUAUAUGUACACAUGUAUGUAUAUAUGAAUGUAAGUGUAUACAUAUAUGGUUGUGCACAUGCACACGUGCAUAUAUAACUUGUGUCAGAGUUGCCAUACAGUGGUAUCAUUUACACUGUAUUCUAUAGAUCUGUGUGAAAUGGAAGCCCUGUCCCAGAUGCCGUAUAAACACUGGUAAAUAUAAUCAAUAUGGUGUCAAUCCCCAAUAAUCAAAGUUCAGGAGAGAUAAGAAAGUAAAGAACAAGGAAACAAACAUAGAAUUAGUAUGUGUGAUGUACCCUGAAGAUGAUAAUAUUAAUAUAAAAGAGUGGUCAAGGGAAGCUAAAUUAUAGAAAGUGGCAAGGGAAAGCUUUAUUAAGAAAGCAAGACUUGAAGUUUGAGAAAGAACCAGUCAAAUGAAGAGCGUGGAGACUGAGUAUUAAAGGCAGGAGGGAAAACAUGUGUUCAGAGAACACUGAAGCAGGAAGGAUUUUAACAACAUUGAAAUUAUCAAAGAAUACCGACACAGCUGGAGAAGAGAGAGGGUAAAAAAAGACCUUAAAAUGAUAUUGGUGAUGUGUCUAGUGGCUGGAUCAUACAGGUCCUUGUAAGGUAUAUUUAACAGUGUGGAUUUUAUUCUUAAUGCAAUGUGGAGCCACUGCCAGCUUUUAAGUCUGAGAGUAGUAGCUUAAAUAAUUGACUCUGGAUAUUGUGUAAUGAGAGCCUGAAGCAGAGAUAAAGUAAAAAUGGGAAUAACAGUUAAGAAAUCAUGGAAUCAAUCCAUGUAAGAGAUGACAGUGGCUUUACUGUGAUAAUGGCAAUGGAAAUAGACAUAUUCAAAUACUAUUUUGAGGACAAAAAAUGUCAGAAAUUGGUAAAUUAUGUGAUUAUUUAUCAUAUAAUUUAUGUGAUUACUUAUCACAACCCAUCUAAGCUAUUAUCAAUUUCUGGCAUAAUAAACAAUAGCUAUGCCCUCACAAAAAUAUCAUAAAAAAGAAUGAAUUAUAGGUAUUAUUAAAAUAUACAUUUUUUUAUGAGCAAAAGAAACCACAUUUUAUUCAAAGGUCUAAAACAGAAGUGUCUAGCCUGGGAGAGUAAUGGGCGAUCAGACGAGUAAUGUUUACUUUUAAUAUGUCAAAAAUGUUUCAGAAUUAAUGAAUUUUCUUUGAUGAGGCAACUUCAAAUAUCUUUGCUUAGGAUGUUUAGGGCUUGACAUGGAAAACUUUGUUUAGCUUUUGAUAAUGUAUUUAUUGUCUGUAUAUGAUUCAUCAUGAUGAGAAUAUUAUGGAUUCCCUUUAAAUAUUAUCCAGUGUGUGUGUAUACAUGUGCAUAUAUAUGUGUUAAUAAAGUAAUGUAUGCUUAUAAAAACAAAACAUAUUUAAAGGAAUAAAGAAUAAAAUAAAAA
rnacentral:lncRNA from 1 species